UCUCGAUCUAUCUAUCCGUCUAUUUAUCCCUCCUCUCUCUCUCUCCAUCGUUCUAUCUAUCUAUCUAUCCGUCUAUCUAUCCUUCUCUCGCUCGCUCUCUCAGACAGUUCGGUUGUCAUUCUCGGUAGAGUGGGCAGAUCAUUCCACUAUCCUCGUGUAUAUCCAUCGUGGCCGUCGAAUAUCUUAUGAUCUUGCCUUUGGUUGAGAAAGGAAGCAAUUAUUUCCAUGUUGACACGUAUGCAUGAACACAUUUGAGUAAAGAAAUUCUCAGUUCACUCAUCCGAAUCGAGGGAUAGACGAAAAAAAUCUUCCUUGGAAUAUAUGAUAUUGGGGAGAGGACGUCAGCUCAUGUUUCAAUGUACCUGGAGUUCUUUCUCCAAGAAGGCAAGAAUGGCGGCAGGGAUGAUCCCUCUGAUCCCACCUCCGUCGAUGCUAAGGAUGGUGAUCAUCUUUCUGCUGUUCGGCGCCUGAGCCAUAGCUUCGUCGGACGAAGAAGAGGAAAAAUGGAACAAGAGGAGUCGUAAGCAAAACUAAGACGAACAAGAAUCGGGAGCUGUCGGAGUUGCUGAAUGAUCGAGUUUCCUCGGAGCAGCCACCAUUAUUU
rnacentral:lncRNA from 1 species